GACGAACGCGGCGGCGUGCCUAAUACAUGCAAGUAGAACGCUGAAGGAGGAGCUUGCUUCUCCGGAUGAGUUGCGAACGGGUGAGUAACGCGUAGGUAACCUGCCUGGUAGCGGGGGAUAACUAUUGGAAACGAUAGCUAAUACCGCAUAAGAGUAGAUGUUGCAUGACAUUUGCUUAAAAGGUGCAAUUGCAUCACUACCAGAUGGACCUGCGUUGUAUUAGCUAGUUGGUGGGGUAACGGCUCACCAAGGCGACGAUACAUAGCCGACCUGAGAGGGUGAUCGGCCACACUGGGACUGAGACACGGCCCAGACUCCUACGGGAGGCAGCAGUAGGGAAUCUUCGGCAAUGGACGGAAGUCUGACCGAGCAACGCCGCGUGAGUGAAGAAGGUUUUCGGAUCGUAAAGCUCUGUUGUAAGAGAAGAACGAGUGUGAGAGUGAAAG
rnacentral:rRNA from 1 species